rnacentral:pre_miRNA from 1 species
UGGCAGUGUGGUUAGCUGGUUGUUAAUUAUAAUUUCAACCAUCUGAUCAUCUGCCUAUA